rnacentral:rRNA from 1 species
UACGUAGGGUGCAAGCGUUGUCCGGAAUUAUUGGGCGUAAAGAGCUCGUAGGCGGUCUGUCGCGUCGGAUGUGAAAACUCGGGGCUCAACCCCGGGCCUGCAUUCGAUACGGGCAGACUAGAGUACGGCAGGGGGAGACUGGAAUUCCUGGUGUAGCGGUGAAAUGCGCAGAUAUCAGGAGGAACACCGGUGGCGAAGGCGGGUCUCUGGGCCGAAACUGACGCUGAGGAGCGAAAAGCGUGGGGGAGCGAACAGG